AGCAGCCGCGGUAAUUCCAGCUCCAAUAGCGUAUAUUAAAGUUGCUGCAGUUAAAAAGCUCGUAGUUGAAUUUCGGGACCAUCAUGUCGGUCGUGCCUCGGUACGUACUGGUAUUGUUGGUUUCUCCCUUCUGACGAACCAUGAUGUCAUUUAUUUGGUGUUGUGGGGAAUCAGGACUGUUACUUUGAAAAAUUAGAGUGUUUAAAGCAGGCUCACGCUUGAAUACAUUAGCAUGGAAUAAUGAAAUAGGACGUUUGAUUCUAUUUUGUUGGUUUCUAGGAUCGACGUAAUGAUUAAUAGGGAUAGUUGGGGGCAUUAGUAUUCAAUUGUCAGAGGUGAAAUUCUUGGAUUUAUUGAAGACUAACUACUGCGAAAGCAUUUGCCAAGGAUGUUUUCAUUAAUCAAGAACGAAAGUUAGGGGAUCGAAGACGAU
rnacentral:rRNA from 1 species